rnacentral:rRNA from 1 species
CCUACGGGAGGCAGCAGUGAGGAAUAUUGGUCAAUGGGCGCGAGCCUGAACCAGCCAAGUAGCGUGAAGGAUGACUGCCCUACGGGUUGUAAACUUCUUUUAUAAAGGAAUAAAACGAGGCACGUGUGCCUUUUUGCAUGUACUUUAUGAAUAAGGAUCGGCUAACUCCGUGCCAGCAGCCGCGGUAAUACGGAGGAUGCGAGCGUUAUCCGGAUUUAUUGGGUUUAAAGGGUGCGCAGGCGGAUUUUUAAGUCAGCGGUCAAAUCGUGGGGCUCAACCCCAUCCAGCCGUUGAAACUGGGGAUCGAGAGUGUGCGAGAGGUACGCGGAAUGCGUGGUGUAGCGGUGAAAUGCAUAGAUAUCACGCAGAACCCCGAUUGCGAAGGCAGCAUACCGGUGCACAACUGACGCUCAGGCACGAAAGCGUGGGUAUCGAACAGGAUUAGAUACCCUUGUAGUC